GGGAGGGAUGGGCAGGGCAGAACUAGGAAAGAGAAGGGUGCGGGCCAGCCAGCCUUGGUUAAAAGAGUUCCUUAAUAAGGGGCCUUGGCUUGGGCCUCCUGAAUGAGAGCAGUGGCUGCUUUGCCAUCACCUGCAGUGCCUCAGCCCCCUGGCAAGUUCUGGUGACAGAAUCCCUCUUUGGAGAUGGUGUUUCUUGAGGGUGGUGAGAGGAGACAGAGGAGGCCAUGGUCUCAAUGAGCAGACUGUCCAGGCCUGGGUGGUGAGAUCGCCAUGUCCACCAAGGUGCCCAUCUAUCUGAAGCUUGGCAGGCGCAAGGGCAAAAAGCAGCUGUGGGACCUGCUGUGCUUGGACACUAUCAGCCUGGUGGGGGCUGACAGGCUUCUGCACACGCAUGAGCAAAGGCACAGAGGCACCAGAGUUAACGCCAGAGGGCAGCCAGCACAUGGCAAAAAGAACCUACUAGGUCUCCGAGUCCUGUGGAAGUCAGUUUCCCCAUUUCCAAAAUGCAGUCAGUGAUACCUGCUUUGCAGAGUUGUUGAGAAAAUCAGGGCUAACAUUGCUUAAUCUGCAUGUGUGCGUGCACGGUCAGUCAUGUCCGACCCUCUGUGACCCUAUGGACUGUAGGCCUCCAAGCUCCUUUGUCCAGGGAAUUCUCCAGGCAAGAAUACUGGAGUGGGUUGCCAUGCUCUUCUCCAGGGGAUCUUCCUGACCCAGGGGAUCUUCCCGAACCCAUGUCUCCAGCAUCUCCCGCAAUGGCACAUUUACCACUGAGGCACCAGGGAAACUAUGGUGGGAUUUGAACUCAGGUCUGUGAGAACCCAAAGCUGCCACGUCUGGGUGAAGAGAGGGCUCUGAAGUGGAAGAGACUGGUGGGGGCACCACAGCUGGCCUACCACCGUAGAGCCCUACAAGGGCACUGUCCUUCAGGCCCAUCUCUGGGCCAGCUCUGCAGGGCCCAGCACCACCUGGCGGGGCACAGGGCAGGGGCUCAGCCAUUCCUUCAGGAGACUGUAGGGGUAGUUGGCCUAGGAGGAAAGCCCACCCCGUCUUAAGUACCACACCCACUUACAGAGUUUAAGUUGCCUCCUGUGGGAGCUGGGUUAGGAUACAUGCUCCCACCAAGCAGAAGAGCCAGUGGCCCCACUAGUGAAGUGGGGAGGAAGUGGACACCAGCACCUUUCCCACACACUGCCUGGCUACUCCUGGUGGGUCUCUAUAAAUACCCCUCCCUGAAGGUACUCAGAGCCUGUCUUCCCCUGCUGAUCCCUCCAUGGGUUCCCACCCCCACCCCUUUCAGGGCAGAGCCUGGUUCCGAGGAUCCAGUGACUGUGCUCCCUCAGUCACAAUUCCAGCAUCUCUCCCCAGCUCAGAGGCCCCUUGAGCUUGUCUGUAAUACAGGGGACAGGCUGGCUGCCUGGCCAAACUUCAGAAGCCCUUCCCUAGGGGCCAGGAGGGAGCCACCCUUGGCCAACAUGGUCCCCAUUACCUCACUGAUGUGAGUGAUGGGCAUCAAACCCAGCGGGGCUGAGGGGAAGCCCCCCACGUCCUGCUGCAGGCCUCUCCAGGGGUCUCCUCCAGAAAGCAGUCUAGCCUUCUAGGUUCCUAAUCCCCUAUCCCUGAAAAGGCAGAGACCAAGAAGUCUGACCCACCCACUGGCCGAAUGUCUCUCCCUCUCAUCUAGAGCUGCUGUGGGAGGCUGCUGGGGGCAGCAGGAGCGCCACAAACUGGCCCUCAACCACAGAUCACACCACGACAGCAUGAUUAGGCAGGCCUUGGGUCUGUCUGAAGCAAAGAAACAACCACCUUUCUCUCAGCCACUGGCCUCCAAGGAUGGGAAGAAACUCAACAGGUGAAAGAAGAGCAUUCCAAGUAGGAAGUAAGGCGGCAGGGGCCUGGAGGUAGAAAAGCACUGGGUUCAAUUUGCCGGGAGUCUGGGAGACUAGUGGGCUACAAACUAGGUUGGAAAAAGGGUUGGGCUCUGAUGUGUCUGCUCCUCUGACCUGUGGGACUCGAGUAAGGAGAUGCAUUUGAAGAAUUCUGAAACAAACAUUUGAAUUACAGGUCUAAUUCAAGAGGCUAUUUAUCUAUUCUGUGCCAAACACUGUUCUGAAUAUUUUAUAAAUACAUUAACUUGGGGACUUCCCUGGUGGUCCAGUGGUUAAGAUCCCAUCAUCUGCGACAGUUCCACAGCCCGGCAGGGUGCCACUUUUCCAGCUCGUCAAGGCCGGACCGAGAACUGAGGACGCCAUCUUGGGCACGCCCUCCAAAAGCUGUGGGGCGCCCAGGACGAUGCCUGCGCCUGCGUGGAUCGCAGGGGGCGUGGUGAAGAGGAUGGGGGUGUGGCCUCAGUGGAAGGCAUGAGGCAGUGAUGCAAUGCGCCCCUAGUGGCGGGUGUGUUCGUGCUCUGGCUUUGCAGCCAUUGGAUUCCGUUUCCACGGUUACGGCGGCCUUGCGAGACAGUGUCCCAGAUUUCCCCUCAGGAUGAAGCUGCCCUGGGCCAGUGUGGGGUGGAAGCCCUGACUACCCUGGAAGUGGUGGGCCGCAUGCUAGGAGGUGAGUGGAGCUACAGAGGCCCCAGACUGGUGCCCAGAGGGUGUUUGUGACCCUUAGGGUUAUUUUGUUUGCCCUGCACAGCGUCUAACAUUUUUUGUUUUAAUUUACAAUAGCUAAAUGAGCCAGCUCAUUUUGUGAUAAAAUGCACUGCUGCUGCUGCUCAGUCCCUUCAGUCGUGUCUGACCCUGUGCGACCCCAUAGACAGCAGCCCACCAGGCUCCCCUGUCCCUGGGAUUCUCCAGGCAAGAACACUGAAGUGGGUCGCCAUUUCCUUCUCCAAUGCAUGAAAGUGAAAAGUGAAAGUGAAGUCGCUCUGUCGUGUCCGACUCUUAGCGACCCCAUGGACUGCAGCCUACCAGGCUCCUCCGUCCA
ensembl:lncRNA